CGCACGCACGCACGCCAGUAGUCAGCCCGAUUCAUCGAUCCCAACGAUCAACAAACUUUUCAUUUGGAAGUUUGUUCGUUCGGCUCGAGUUAUCGGGUUGAACCGACGAUCA
rnacentral:pre_miRNA from 1 species